UUCGAUUGGUACCAGGAUACGCCGAGGAUGAAAACCUUGUUCCCGUUUCCUAUAUAUAGAAACUUAAAGCGCGGUAACGCGAUAAACGUGCAAGGCAGAGUCCGCGCCUCUACUCUAGAGGAGUAUAGAAAAUUUAUACACCUAGCCCCAGAACUUCAUUUGACCGAGAGAUCGAACUUGAGAAAUACAUCGAUCAUCUUUCUCCUCCAAUUUUUUCAUAAAUUCUUCUUCGGAUCCGCAAUUAUUAUUCGUUAUCUAUCCUAUUAUAAUUAUCGUCUCGUUGCGCAUAAAGACUUCAAGUAGCAUCGGUAAAAAUGGAGAGAGAACUUCUCAUUCGCUUCGAUUUUACUCGAGAGAUAAAAAAGAGGGGAAAGAUACAGUAGCCGAGCGAGUAUGGAAGAAAAAAGAGUAUGGCGGGAAAAGGAACCGCCAGUCAUUGCGGUGCGUUCAUCGGAACUUUCGAUCUUCACGAGCAAACAGGCGAGCGGACAAGCGGUGGAAGACGAAAACUAGAUCACUUCUGGACGUGGUCGCCUCGGCCACGCCACGCCAUGCCACGCCACGCCACGCCGGAACGGUGGCGAUACUGUAGAAAGAGAGAAAGGGAUCGGUGUUAUUGGCGGCGUUCACACCAGGCGACCCGUUAAUGCUCGAGAAUCGAAGACACUCGAACGCGUGUCCAUCCUGUCGUAUAAAUAUCGGAACAUAAUCGCGGCAUCCGGGUUAUAUACGGGCCAUAUUUCCAUCGUAAAGAUCGAAAGGUGAUUUUAUGCAGUCCCGGAUUUUAUGCAGCUUGUGCGUAGGAUUAUUAAUGGACUCGGGACAGCCAGUGCGAACAACUCUGCCAAGCGAUAAAUAAGAGGAUUCUUUGAUGCCAAGCGAUGACGUUUCAACGAUACGUUAUUCGAAGUGUUGAAAUCGACUCUUCCUUUACGCUGCUUUCAUUGGAAAAGAGAAGAAUUUGUAUUAAAUACAUCGAUAUUAAUAAAUCUAAUUUACCAU